rnacentral:tRNA from 1 species
GUGGGGGAUAUAGCUCAGUUGGUAGAGUGCUUGCCUUGCAUGUACAAAGCCCUGGGUUUAAUACCCAGCACCACA